rnacentral:rRNA from 1 species
CAGCAGCCGCGGUAAUGCGUAGGUGGCAAGCGUUUUCCGGAAUUAUUGGGCGUAAAGGGCUCGCAGGCGGUUUCUUAAGUCUGAUGUGAAAGCCCCCGGCUCAACCGGGGAGGGUCAUUGGAAACUGGGAAACUUGAGUGCAGAAGAGGAGAGUGGAAUUCCACGUGUAGCGGUGAAAUGCGUAGAGAUGUGGAGGAACACCAGUGGCGAAGGCGACUCUCUGGUCUGUAACUGACGCUGAGGAGCGAAAGCGUGGGGAGCGAACAGGAUUAGAUACCCGAGUAGUCCCUGUCUCUUAUAA